CAUAACCAAAAAUUACAAUUGGGUUUAAUGUAGGUGUUGUAAUUAAACGAACAUCGCCACCACCUGGUGCCCAAGUAUCAUAAACACCACCAAUGUACAUUGCUUUAGCAACUAAUAAAAAAGCACCACUACCUAAAAGACAUAAAUGAAUCCCUAGAAUAGUUGUCAUCUUGUUUUUAUCACGCCA
rnacentral:antisense_RNA from 2 species